rnacentral:lncRNA from 1 species
CCUCCACCCUAUUAGUGACACUUGGCAAGGAUGCUGGCGUGUAACCCUUGGGGCCAGCAGGGGGUGGGAGGCAGACACUGGGCCCAGCUCCAGUUGGUCCUAGGUGCUGCUCUCUCUCUUAGGCCCUCAGCUGCCUCAUGAUUAGAAAAGUGCCCCUAGUCAGGCCCUGUUCCCAGCCCUCCAUCCACACCCCCGAUGGCUACGUAGAGCUGCCCAGUGUGCGAGCCUGGCUACGUAGAGCUGCCCGGGGGGGGAGCCUCUAACGGCCUCCGCUGGGUCUGACUCUCCAUCAGGAAUAAUGGCAGCUGAGGAUGAGAGGUGAGGAAACUGCCUUAAUCUUCCCUCCUCCAGCCCAGCAAACACCAGGGUGCCUCUAAGCGCCUGACCUUCACAGCUGUCCCAGUGAGUCCACAGUACAUAGGUUACUCUCCCAUUUGGCAGAGUAGGAAACUGAGGCUUAGGGAGGUGAAAGGGUUUGGCCAGGUUCCAAGAGCAAGGACCCAGGCAUUUCUGAGAGGGAUGAGACCAAGAGCCAGGACCAUGCAAUGCAUGCAGUGCACUUAGCAGCACACCCCAGAUGUGCUCUCGACAGGUCAGCUUCGAGGCAAAAUGAGCAGGAGACCCUCGGGGCCCCAGGAGCCCGCCUUGGUCCUGGUGCAGCCCAGUAAGCAGACUACAGAGGCCUCCCAGGAAGAGGCUGGUCAGGCAUCUAGAACCCCUUCAGAAAUGAAGGGGGCUAAUAUGUCAGAUGGGCUCCCUGGGGGCACUGGCCCGUCCCAGCCUCCCCAGAAAAGGCCCCCUCCCCUGGGAAUACCAACUCUCCCAGGGGUCCUGCCAGGGGCUGACUCAUGGGCAGCUGGGCAUAGUUGGGAAGGUGGGGCUUUGGGGCUAUGGUCCCAACAGCGGCAUCUCUUACAAGACCAGACCUUGGAGUAACCUGUGUCGCCACCCACUCAGGACUUGGCUCCCGGGCACACGCCAUGUCCUGAUGAGAUCCACCCUUCCUCCUUCCUCUCAAACAAGCAGUCAUCACAUCAGGCCCAACACUCAACGGGGAUUCUGUGGCCAACAACCCACAGCAGGCAGGUCCCUGUCCCAUGGAGUUUGUAUUCCAGGGGGGAGAGGGGCGACAGACCACAGAAAACAAAUGCAUAAACUCCAGAAAGUGGUCGGUGUCCUCUGAGAAAAAUCAGCCAAGAUGCAUUGGUAGAGAAAGAAAAACAAGGAUGAUCUUUCAAUCUAUCAUCAGGAAGACUGCCUGGAGGAGGUAACAAUAGACCUGCCACGAAAAUGAUGUCCAUGGGAUGAGCCCAGGAAAGAGCUCUCCAGGGAGCGGAAGCGCAGGUGCAAAGGUCAGACCAGAGGGAGUAAAGGGGAGGGUGAGCGAGAUGAGGUCAGAGAGAGUGGAGCAGAGGUCAAAGUGUGUGAAGCAUCUGGUAUUUUUUCCAGGAAGACCUAGGAAGCACUGGAAAAAUGAGGUGAUCCAGUUUCUGUUUCUUCGGUGGGCUCCCUGGCUGCUGUGCAGAGCAUGGAAUGAAGAGAGUGAAUAAUAAACAGAGCGAUAGUUUUGGGGCUGCUGCAGGAGUCUGGGCAAGAGAGCACGGUGGCCUGGACCAUGGUGCUGGGGGAGGGGGACCCGGGAGAGGUGGACGGGUCUGCAGUAGGUCCUGGACCAGCGCCCACUGGGCUCCCCAAGGGACUGCACCUGUGAGCAGGGGCAAGGCGGGAAACAGGGACAUUCUUAGGUUUGUGUGGAUAAAGCUACCUUUUACAGAGAUGGGAGGAUGGGGUGGAAAAGGAAGCAUGUGUAGGAGACCCCUGUCCCGGCUGCCACCAGAGGGCUCCCCAGAGGCCAAAAGGCCAGCCAGCCUCCGUGGCUCCUCUCCCAAAGACGGACACAGGAAGGGCUGCAUAGCCUGGAUGAGCAUGGGGCUAUGCGCUUCUUGUCCCUGGAGAGCAGAGAGAAAUCCCUCCAGGAGCAAAACCAUCUGUCAAAGAUGUCUUAGGCCCAAGAAAGGAAGUUAGAAGGCACAGUUUGAGGCCCAGCAGGCUGGGGUCUGAACCUUAGGUCUGCCCCUGUUACCAGCUCUGGGACCCUCAGAGAGGCCCUCAGCCACUCUGAACCCGGUGGUCCUUGUCUGUCAGGUAGGGAUGAUGCUGAUGAGAUGCUGGGCAAGUCGCUGCCCUUGCGGGGCCCCAGGAACUUCAACUUAAGCUACAGACAUGAGUGUGAAGAGAGGCUGCUCUGGCCCGAGGCCUUAGGGAGGGGCAGGGUGAAGGCUGGGGUUGGCCUGGGGGGCUGGAGGGACCAUUCAGUUCUUCAGGGUCUCCAAGUCCAUGGUUUUAAAUCUGGCGAGAUGGAUGAACCAUUGCAUGUUUGGGUUUCCUUUCUGUCGGGCAGAAAACCGUCAGGCAGUGAGGGUGGGGCAGGGAGAUGGAAGGAGCGAUGGAGAGAGAUACAGGUCAUAUGUAUGUAUGAGGUGCGCCUGCGCCUGCGACUGUUAAUAACACGCCCAAGGUCCCUCCAGCUCACAAAGCAGCUGCCCUCAACCUUCACGUGGGCCAACUCUUUUCCUCCAGCUUCUUUUUUUUUUUUUUGUCUUUUUGCUAUUUCUUUGGGCCGCUCCCGCGGCAUAUGGAGGUUCCCAGGCUAGGGGUCCAAUCGGAGCUGUAGCCACUGGCCUACACCAGAGCCACAGCAAUGUGGGAUCCGAGCCGCGUCUGCAACCUACACCACAGCUCACGGCAACGCCGGAUCGUUAACCCAUUGAGCAAGGCAGGGACUGAACCCGCAACCUCAUGGUUCCUAGUUGGAUUCGUUAACCCUUGCGCCACGACGGGAACUCCAUUUUCUGCCAGCUUCUUAAAAGCUGUCAUAUGCCACAAAUACGAGAGCCCCUGGGUCAGGGCCACGGCCAGGAGCAUGCAGGGUGCUGAGAGCUCCCCGGGGUGUCCCCUCACUGACUCCCAUCUUCUCUCCCCCUCCCCCCAUGACAGGAACCUUUUAUGUUCAUGUCAUCUCCUGUCCAGGAAUCUCUCCUAGGGGAAAAUUCUUAAAUAUACUAUAGUUAAGGUAUAUAGUAUAUGAAGAUAUAUAUAUAUACUAUAUGUAGUAUAUAGUACAUAUCAUAUGUAUACUAUAUUUAAGUAUUUUAUACAUUAUAUGUAACACAUAUAUAACGUUAUAUAAUAUGUAAAAUAUACAUGUAUAAUAUAUAACACAUUAUAAUGUUAUAUAACAUGUAACGUAAUAUUUAAAAUUCUUAAUAUAUAGAUUACAUAUUAUGUGUUAUAUAUAAUAGUGAACAACUGGAAUUAACCUCUGC